rnacentral:rRNA from 1 species
GCAAGAGCUCAGAUUUGAAAUCGUGCUUUGCGGCACGAGUUGUAGAUUGCAGGUUGGAGUCUGUGUGGAAGGCGGUGUCCAAGUCCCUUGGAACAGGGCGCCCAGGAGGGUGAGAGCCCCGUGGGAUGCCGGCGGAAGCAGUGAGGCCCUUCUGACGAGUCGAGUUGUUUGGGAAUGCAGCUCCAAGCGGGUGGUAAAUUCCAUCUAAGGCUAAAUACUGGCGAGAGACCGAUAGCGAACAAGUACUGUGAAGGAAAGAUGAAAAGCACUUUGAAAAGAGAGUGAAACAGCACGUGAAAUUGUUGAAAGGGAAGGGUAUUGCGCCCGACAUGGGGAUUGCGCACCGCUGCCUCUCGUGGGCGGCGCUCUGGGCUUUCCCUGGGCCAGCAUCGGUUCUUGCUGCAGGAGAAGGGGUUCUGGAACGUGGCUCUUCGGAGUGUUAUAGCCAGGGCCAGAUGCUGCGUGCGGGGACCGAGGACUGCGGCCGUGUA